rnacentral:rRNA from 1 species
GACGAACGCUGGCGGCGUGCUUAACACAUGCAAGUCGAACGGAAAGGCCCUGCUUUUGUGGGGUGCUCGAGUGGCGAACGGGUGAGUAACACGUGAGUAACCUGCCCUUGACUUUGGGAUAACUUCAGGAAACUGGGGCUAAUACCGGAUAGGAGCUCCUGCAGCAUGGUGGGGGUUGGAAAGUUUCGGCGGUUGGGGAUGGACUCGCGGCUUAUCAGCUUGUUGGUGGGGUAGUGGCUUACCAAGGCUUUGACGGGUAGCCGGCCUGAGAGGGUGACCGGCCACAUUGGGACUGAGAUACGGCCCAGACUCCUACGGGAGGCAGCAGUGGGGAAUAUUGCACAAUGGGCGGAAGCCUGAUGCAGCAACGCCGCGUGCGGGAUGACGGCCUUCGGGUUGUAAACCGCUUUCGCCUGUGACGAAGCGUGAGUGACGGUAAUGGGUAAAGAAGCACCGGCUAACUACGU